AUAUUACCGAAGCUGUGGAUGACACAAAAGUGUCAUGGUAGGAGAGCGUUCUAUGUGUGAAGAAGGUGUGGUAUGAGGAGCGCAAGACAGGUGAGAAUCCUGUCCACCGUAAGACUAAGGUUUCCAGGGGAAGGCUCGUCCGCCCUGGGUUAGUCGGGACCUAAGGAGAGACCGAAAGGUGUAUCCGAUGGACAACAGGUUGAUAUUCCUGUACUAGAGUAUAUAGUGAUGGAGGGACGCAGUAGGCUAACUAAACCAGACGAUUGGAAGUGUCUGGUCAAACAGUGAGGUGUGAUAUGAGUCAAAUGCUUAUAUCUUUAACAUUGAGCUGUGACGAGGAGCGAAGUUUAGUAGCGAAGUUAGUGAUGUCACACUGCCAAGAAAAGCUUCUAG
rnacentral:rRNA from 1 species